rnacentral:ncRNA from 2 species
AUGAUCGAUCAGCAAAACUAGCGAAAGCUAGUGACGCAAAGCUACAGGGAUUUCCCCUUUUAACAGGGAUGUCAGCCAGCUGCAGGA